UACGGAGGGUGCGAGCGUUAAUCGGAAUUACUGGGCGUAAAGCGCGCGUAGGCGGUUUGGUCAGUCGAUUGUGAAAGCCCUGGGCUUAACCUGGGAAUUGCAGUCGAUACUGCCUGACUAGAAUGUGGAAGAGGGAAGUGGAAUUUCCGGUGUAGCGGUGAAAUGCGUAGAUAUCGGAAGGAACACCAGUGGCGAAGGCGGCUUCCUGGUCCAACAUUGACGCUGAGGUGCGAAAGCGUGGGGAGCGAACAGG
rnacentral:ncRNA from 2 species